rnacentral:tRNA from 1 species
GGUCCCGAUUGGGCAGGCGGCACGGUCUUGAAAACCGUCGUGGCGCGAGUCACCGUGGGUUCAAAUCCCACACCCACCG